rnacentral:rRNA from 1 species
UACGUAGGUGGCAAGCGUUGUCCGGAAUUAUUGGGCGUAAAGCGCGCGCAGGUGGUUUCUUAAGUCUGAUGUGAAAGCCCACGGCUCAACCGUGGAGGGUCAUUGGAAACUGGGGAACUUGAGUGCAGAAGAGGAAAGUGGAAUUCCAAGUGUAGCGGUGAAAUGCGUAGAGAUUUGGAGGAACACCAGUGGCGAAGGCGGCUCUCUGGGACGGUACUGACGCUGAGGAGCGAAAGCGUGGGGAGCGAACAGG